rnacentral:rRNA from 1 species
ACUCCUACGGGAGGCAGCAGUGGGGAAUAUUGCACAAUGGGGGAAACCCUGAUGCAGCCAUGCCGCGUGUGUGAAGAAGGCCUUCGGGUUGUAAAGCACUUUCAGUAGGGAGGAAGGUAGUGUAGUUAACACCUGCACUAUUUGACGUUACCUACAGAAGAAGCACCGGCUAACUCCGUGCCAGCAGCCGCGGUAAUACGGAGGGUGCGAGCGUUAAUCGGAAUUACUGGGCGUAAAGCGCAUGCAGGCGGCCUGUUAAGUCAGAUGUGAAAGCCCGGGGUCUUAACCUCGGAAUUGCAUUUGAAACUGGCAGGCUAGAGUCUUGUAGAGGGGUUAGAAUUUCAGGUGUAGCGGUGAAAUGCGUAGAGAUCUGAAGGAAUACCAGUGGCGAAGGCGGCCCCUGGACAAAGCUGACGCUCAGAUGCGAAAGCGUGGGAGCAAACAGGAUUAGAUACCCCUGGUAGCACAGAG